rnacentral:rRNA from 1 species
UACAGAGGGUGCAAGCGUUAAUCGGAAUUACUGGGCGUAAAGCGCACGCAGGCGGAUAGGUAAGUUGGAUGUGAAAGCCCCGGGCUCAACCUGGGAAUGGCAUUCAAAACUGCUUAUCUAGAGUGCAGUAGAGGAGAGUGGAAUUUCCGGUGUAGCGGUGAAAUGCGUAGAUAUCGGAAGGAACACCAGUGGCGAAGGCGACUCUCUGGACUGACACUGACGCUCAUGUGCGAAAGCGUGGGGAGCAAACAGG